AUUGAACGCUGGCGGAAGGCCUAACACAUGCAAGUCGAACGAGUGGCGGACGGGUGCGUAAUGUAUGGGAAACUGCCUGAUGGAGGGGGAUAACUACUGGAAACGGUAGCUAAUACCGCAUACCAUCAGCUGUGCCCAGAUGGGAUUAUCUUGUUGGGGGGGAAACGGCUCACCAAGGCGACGAUCCCUAGCUGGUCUGAGAGGAUGAACAUCCACACUGGAACUGAGACACGGGCCAGACGCCUACGGGAAGCAGCAGGGGGGAAUAUUGCACAUUUGGCGCAAGCCUGAUGCAGCCAUGCCGCGUGUAUGAAGAAGGCCUUCGGGUUGUAAAGUCCUUUCAGCGGGGAGGCGGUACCCGCAGAAGAAGCACCGGCUAACUCCGUGCCAGCAGCCGCGGUAAUUC
rnacentral:rRNA from 1 species